rnacentral:rRNA from 1 species
UACGUAGGGGCCAAGCGUUGUCCGGAUUUAUUGGGCGUAAAGAGCGCGCAGGCGGCUGGUCAAGUCCGAUGUGAAAGCUCCCGGCUUAACUGGGAAAUUGCAUCGGAAACUGAUCGGCUGGAAGGUGGGAGAGGGUAGCGGAAUUCCCGGUGUAGUGGUGAAAUGCGUAGAUAUCGGGAGGAACACCAGUGGCGAAAGCGGCUACCUGGCCCAUUCUUGACGCUGAGGCGCGAAAGCUAGGGGAGCAAACGGG